rnacentral:rRNA from 1 species
AGGAUGUUGGCUCAGAAGCAGCCACCAUUUAAAGAGUGCGUAAUAGCUCACUAGUCGAGUGAUUCUGCGCCGAAAAUGUACCGGGGCUAAGCAUAUUACCGAAACUGUGGAUGUGCACUACGUGCACGUGAUAGGAGAGCGUUCUAAGGGCGGUGAAGCUAGACCGUGAGGACUGGUGGAGCGCUUAGAAGUGAGAAUGCCGGUAUGAGUAGCGAAAGACAGGUGAGAAUCCUGUCC